rnacentral:tRNA from 1 species
GCCUGUGUUGCUCAGUGGAUAGAGUGUUGGCCUGUGGACCAAAGGGUGCCAGGUUCAACUCCAGUCAAGGGCA